UACGUAGGCAGCAAGCGUUGUUCGGAGUUACUGGGCGUAAAGGGUGUGUAGGCGGUUCUUUAAGUUUGGUGUGAAAUCUCCCGGCUCAACCGGGAGGGUGCGCCGAAUACUGAGGGACUAGAGUGCGGGAGAGGAAUGUGGAAUUCCUGGUGUAGCGGUGAAAUGCGUAGAUAUCAGGAGGAACACCGGUGGUGUAGACGGCUUUCUGGACCGUAACUGACGCUGAGACACGAAAGCGUGGGUAGCAAACAGG
rnacentral:rRNA from 1 species